rnacentral:rRNA from 1 species
AUGGUAGUCCUAGACCUCAAUUUCACUCCACCCGAAGAAGGCAACGAAGAACCUGAAGAAGAAGGCAACAAUGCUGGUCAAAAUUCAGGAGUACAAAGGCAAAGGAAUUGGCUCACUGAUGCACAGAGAUAUGCCGCUUACAUGUCCUUGGAAACCCUCCAUAAGAGUAGAGGAGGCAAGUUCAAGAGAACUGAUAAGAAGGAUGUGGCUGCAAUAUUUGGAGCACAUGUUCGAGUUAUUCAAAGAAUAUGGGAGACGGCAAUGAAACAGAAAGGCCUUGGUCAGGAGGUGGAUGUUUCAAACAAAAGAAAGGAAAAUUGUGGAAGAAAAUCUUAUGAUGAUAUCCUAUCUCUCAUUCCGACAAUUCCCUUGAACAAGAGGUCAACUAUUCGAUCUCUAGCCAAGGCACUGGGUGUAAGCCCUACUACACUAUACAAGAAGUUCAAGUUGAACAAGAUAAGGAAACACUCCAACAGGGUUAAGCCGGGACUGACAAAGAAAAAUAAGAGAGAUAGGGUGGAUUUUUGCCUCUCUAUGCUAGAUGAGGCAACAUUAGGAGAUGUAAGCCCAAGUUUCAGGAGUAUGCAUAAUAUUGUUCACAUCGAUGAGAAAUGGUUCUCCAUGACCAAGAAAAAAAGAACUACUAUCUGCUGCCUGACGAAGAGGACCCGAAAAGACCUGUCAAAAACUCUAUUGGAAAAGUGA